CUUUUUCUUAAAGCGAAUUGAAUUUGUGAAAGACCAAAAUCUGCCGUGUCAUAAAAUUUUCUAUUGGCAAGCGCGUAUUAUGGUGUGCCAUCAAAUCAUCUCCUUGUCUCCAAAAUUUAAAAUAACAAGUCCCGAAAACAAUUUUUCGUAAGAUGACACAGAUUAUCGGUCAGAUAGAAGUCCAAAAUAGAUGGUACGUAAU